rnacentral:RNase_P_RNA from 2 species
UCAGGUAAAGAAGUAGUUGCUGCACAAAAUGCAGAGGAAAGUCUGGACUCCAAGGGAAAAUGGUGACAGGUAAUCCCUGUCGAAGGUAACUUUAGGUUAGGGCCACAGAAAAUAACCGCCUUUAAUAACAAGGUAAGGGUGAAAAGGUGUGGUAAAAGCACACCGUACUUAUGGUAACAUAUAGUAGCUAGGUAACCACCACCAGGAGCAAGACUAAGCAGAGAUAUUGUGUUUUCCCUCACUAUUAUCCGGGUAAGUCGCAUGAGGUAAAUAGCAAUAUUUAUCCCAGAUGAAUAACUACAUAAACAAAAUCCAGCUUACCUUUACCUGAUACU